rnacentral:rRNA from 1 species
GGCCUUGUACACACCGCCGUCACACCAUGGGAGUGGGCUGCAAAAGAAGUAGGUAGUUUAACCUUCGGGAGGACGCUUACCACUUUGUGGUUCAUGACUGGGGUGAAGUCGUAACAAGGUAGCGCUAGGGGAACCUGGCGCUGGAUCACCU